GACGAACGCUGGCGGCGUGCUUAACACAUGCAAGUCGAGCGGUAAGGCCCUUUCGGGGGUACACGAGCGGCGAACGGGUGAGUAACACGUGGGUGACCUGCCCUCCAGCUCUGGGAUAAGCCUGGGAAACCGGGUCUAAUACUGGAUAUGACUCCAUGACGCAUGUUGUGGGGUGGAAAGCCUUGUGCGGCUGAGGAUGGGCCCGCGGCCUAUCAGCUUGUUGGUGGGGUGAGGCCUACCAAGGCGACGACGGGUAGCCGGCCUGAGAGGGCGACCGGCCACACUGGGACUGAGACACGGCCCAGACUCCUACGGGAGGCAGCAGUGGGGAAUAUUGGACAAUGGGGGGCAACCCUGAUCCAGCGACGCCGCGUGUGU
rnacentral:rRNA from 1 species